GUUUGCAGUGUGGAUGACCCUCCAUCGUGCUUCCCUUCAGGGGGCCUGUUGCUGGACAGAUGCAUCUUCAGUGCUCCAAGCAACCGUGUGACCAGACCCUGUCCUCACGGGCCUCUCCGUUGUGAUAAAGACGUUAAAGACCCAGCUAAGGAUGUGGAAGGCACAUCAGACCUGGUAAAGCCCUUCCACUGUGAGAUUCUAGUCCUCUGCACAAAUGAAGAACGUCUGAUUGCAAUCACCCUGCAACGGUCUAUUUAUUCCUGGACGUCUUCUUCCCUGACUCCAUUUCCAGGCUAGUGAACUCUUGCUUGUGGGUAAAAUAUACCCUCUUGAAAAUGUUAUAUAUAUAUAUA
rnacentral:lncRNA from 1 species